rnacentral:rRNA from 1 species
UCCUGGUUAUAAAAUAAAUUAAAUUUACCAGAGUACUAUGAAUAUAACAAAAUUUAAAACUCAAAGGACUUGGCGGUGUUUUAGACCACUUAGGGGAACCUGUCUCAUAAUCGACAAUCCACGUUAGACCUAACCUUUUUUUGCUUUCAGCUUGUAUACCGUUGUCGUCAGGUAACUUUUUAGAAUUUAGGAGUUAGCUAAAAAUAGUAAAUUUAAACGUCAAAUCAAGGUGCAGCCAACAAAAAGGUGAGGAUGGGUUACAAUUAUUUAAUUAUAAUUACGGAAUAUUAUAAGAAUUAGAUAAUAUGAAGGAGGACUUAAAAGUAAAUUAAAUUAUAUAAAUAAUUUGAAUUAGGCUCUAAAAUGUGCACACAUCGCCCGUCGCUCUUGUUGGAAAAUAAGAUAAGUCGUAACAUAGUAGGGGUAAUGGAAAUUGCCCCUAAACU